UCGGGGAUAGCCUUUCGAAAGAAAGAUUAAUACCCGAUGGCAUAGUUCUUCCGCAUGGUAGAACUAUUAAAGAAUUUCGGUCAUCGAUGGGGAUGCGUUCCAUUAGGUUGUUGGCGGGGUAACGGCCCACCAAGCCUUCGAUGGAUAGGGGUUCUGAGAGGAAGGUCCCCCACAUUGGAACUGAGACACGGUCCAAACUCCUACGGGAGGCAGCAUG
rnacentral:rRNA from 1 species